rnacentral:rRNA from 1 species
CAGCCGCCGCGGUAAUACGUAGGUGGCAAGCGUUGUCCGGAAUUAUUGGGCGUAAAGGGCUCGCAGGCGGUUUCUUAAGUCUGAUGUGAAAGCCCCCGGCUCAACCGGGGAGGGUCAUUGGAAACUGGGAAACUUGAGUGCAGAAGAGGAGAGUGGAAUUCCACGUGUAGCGGUGAAAUGCGUAGAGAUGUGGAGGAACACCAGUGGCGAAGGCGACUCUCUGGUCUGUAACUGACGCUGAGGAGCGAAAGCGUGGGGAGCAAACAGGAUUAGAUACCCGUGUAGUCCCUGUCUCUUAUAC